rnacentral:sRNA from 1 species
CAGUCAGCCAGUUUGAGCAUUAGCAGUGUGCUGGGCACUGCUGCAGGCCCUGGGGCAACACACAGAAAACUAGCCCUGUCCUGAUGAGCUCCUUGCAAUGGGGGAAGAGGAUGCCAACAGGAUAUUAAGCUCUGCUCUGUGCUUGCCAUUUAUGGAGAAGAGAGGGGCUGUGCAUCUGAUAGUGAGGAUGUGGUCAAAGGGCACAGCCCCAGAGGAAAGCAGCUCCACACGUGGGGGCUGCAGGGGAUCCUCACCCUUUCUCUGUCUCCAGCCUGCAGCAGCCUUCCAUCUCUGUUCUGCCCCAGGGACUUCAAGGAUGUUGAAGCCGCCUUGCAUGCCAUGAAGAACGUGGCCCAGCUCAUCAACGAGCGGAAGCGGAGACUUGAGAACAUCGACAAGAUUGCUCAGUGGCAGAGCUCCAUAGAGGACUGGGAGGGAGAAGAUCUCUUGGUCAGGAGCUCAGAACUCAUCUACUCCGGGGAGCUGACUCGAGUUACACAGCCUCAAGCCAAAAGCCAGCAGCGAAUGUUCUUUCUCUUUGACCACCAGCUCAUCUACUGUAAGAAGGGCCGGCUGGACAUGGACGGCCUGGAGGUGGUGGACCUGGAGGACGGGAAGGACAGAGACCUCCAUGUGAGCAUCAAGAACGCCUUCCGGCUGCACUGUGGCGCCACAGGGGACAGCCACCUGCUGUGCACCAGGAAGCCCGAGCAGAAGCAGCGCUGGCUCAAGGCCUUUGCCAGGGAGAGGGAGCAGGUGCAGCUGGACCA